rnacentral:rRNA from 1 species
UGGGGAAUAUUGCACAAUGGAGGGAACUCUGAUGCAGCGACGCCGCGUGAGUGAUGAAGGAUUUCGUUUCGUAAAACUCUGUUCUAUGGGAAGAAAAGGACUGUACCAUAGGAGAAAGCUCCGGCUAAAUACGUGCCAGCAGCCGCGGUAAUACGUAUGGAGCGAGCGUUGUCCGGAAUUAUUGGGCGUAAAGGGUGCGCAGGCGGCUUUACAAGUUGGAUGUGAAAUAUUGUGGCUCAACCACAAACGUGCAUCCAAAACUGCAAAGCUUGAGUUAAGGAGAGGUAAGUGGAAUUCCUGGUGUAGCGGUGGAAUGCGUAGAUAUCAGGAGGAAUACCGGUGGCGAAAGCGACUUACUGGACUUAAACUGACGCUCAGGCACGAAAGCGUGGGGAGCAAACAGG